AGACUGUAUCAAAUGAAGGAGAAGAAAAGGAGAUUGGAGCAGGAAGGACACCUCCUGCUCCAAUCUCCUUUUCUUCUCCUUCAUUCCACUUUAUUCU